ACACAUGCAAGUCGAACGAGAGAGAGGGAGCUUGCUUCCUUGAUCGAGUGGCGAACGGGUGAGUAACGCGUGAGGAACCUGCCUCAAAGAGGGGGACAACAGUUGGAAACGACUGCUAAUACCGCAUAAGCCCACGACCCGGCAUCGGGAAGAGGGAAAAGGAGCAAUCCGCUUUGAGAUGGCCUCGCGUCCGAUUAGCUAGUUGGUGAGGUAACGGCCCACCAAGGCGACGAUCGGUAGCCGGACUGAGAGGUUGAACGGCCACAUUGGGACUGAGACACGGCCCAGACUCCUACGGGAGGCAGCAGUGGGGAAUAUUGCACAAUGGGGGAAACCCUGAUGCAGCGACGCCGCGUGGAGGAAGAAGGUCUUCGGAUUGUAAACUCCUGUUGUUGAGGAAGAUAAUGACGGUACUCAACAAGGAAGUGACGGCUAACUACGUGCCAGCAGCCGCGGUAAAACGUAGGUCACAAGCGUUGUCCGGAAUUACUGGGUGUAAAGGGAGCGCAGGCGGGCGAUCAAGUUGGAAGUGAAAUCCAUGGGCUCAACCCAUGAACUGCUUUCAAAACUGGUCGUCUUGAGUAGUGCAGAGGUAGGCGGAAUUCCCGGUGUAGCGGCGGAAUGCGUAGAUAUCGGGAGGAACACCAGUGGCGAAGGCGGCCUACUGGGCACCAACUGACGCUGAGGCUCGAAAGUGUGGGUAGCAAACAGGAUUAGAUACCCUGGUAGUCCACACCGUAAACGAUGAUUACUAGGUGUUGGGAGAUUGACCCUCUCAGUGCCGCAGUUAACACAAUAAGUAAUCCACCUGGGGAGUACGACCGCAAGG
rnacentral:rRNA from 1 species